GCCCUCUGACAAAGAAAGCGGAAGAGUGGACUAACUGCCCCCAAGAAAGAGACUGAUUGAAUAUUCAGAAAACAGAGAUGGAACCCAAAAUUGCUUGAAAAGAAAACAAACACAUUAAGAGACCCAGUUUCUCUACAGACAAGCCUGGGAAAUGUUUUGUAUUUAUAGUAGCACACAUGAUUGUUACUAAGCAUUUAAUGUUCAUGCUGCCCUGUUGAAAUUUGUACCAAAUAUGAAUAUUAUCAAACA